rnacentral:rRNA from 1 species
GACGAACGCUGGCGGCGUGCUUAACACAUGCAAGUCGAACGGAAAGGCCCUGCUUUUGUGGGGUGCUCGAGUGGCGAACGGGUGAGUAACACGUGAGUAACCUGCCCUUGACUUUGGGAUAACUUCAGGAAACUGGGGCUAAUACCGGAUAGGAGCUCCUGCUGCAUGGUGGGGGUUGGAAAGUUUCGGCGGUUGGGGAUGGGCUCGCGGCUUAUCAGCUUGUUGGUGGGGUAGUGGCUUACCAAGGCUUUGACGGGUAGCCGGCCUGAGAGGGUGACCGGCCACAUUGGGACUGAGAUACGGCCCAGACUCCUACGGGAGGCAGCAGUGGGGAGUAUUGCACAAUGGGCGGGAGCCUGAUGCAGCAACGCCGCGUGCGGGAUGACGGCCUUCGGGUUGUAAACCGCUUUCGCCUGUGACGAAGCGUGAGUGACGGUAAUGGGUAAAGAAGCACCGGCUAACUACGUG